GACAUGGCUCAGUGGCAGAGCAUCUGCCUUGCACAUGGAAAGCACUGGGUUCAAUCCCGGGUAUCUCCA
rnacentral:tRNA from 1 species